rnacentral:rRNA from 1 species
UACGGAGGGUGCGAGCGUUGUCCGGAAUCAUUGGGCGUAAAGGGCGCGUAGGUGGCCCGGUGAGUCUUUGGUGAAAGCGCGGGGCUCAACCCUGCGUCGGCCAGGGGAUACUGCCGGCGGCUCGAGCACUGUAGAGGCAGGCGGAAUUCCGGGGUGUAGCGGUGGAAUGCGUAGAGAUCCGGAAGAACACCGGUGGCGAAGGCGGCCUGCUGGGCAGUGGCUGACGCUGAGGCGCGACAGCGUGGGGAGCAAACAGG